rnacentral:lncRNA from 1 species
ACAUCUUCAUUUUCAUUGGCUAAUAAAAGAAGAGAUAAGAGAUAAGAAAACAUACAAGCUUGCGUCAUCCUGCGUUGCACAAGGUUGCACAUGCUUGCUACCUUGCUUCUUAUUCAAUGUCUUUGUUUACAUGUUGGGUUUCUUUAUACUUUACAGGUUAGUUUUUUGUGACAUGUGGACAGUGGCAGUGGAAGACGUAAAACGUACUUUAAUAAAUUGCUACACCAUUAUUAGUGGACAGUAGACCAAAAAGUACGAAUAUUUUAAGUCUAAAACCAUACUACUAUUUGCCCUUUCUAUUGAUAAUUUUAUCGACAGUGAAUGGUAUGUAAUCACUAAUUGUAGCCGGUGACCCGUUUCACAAGACGAGAAAGGACAUUUGAAAUUGGGAAUCAUGGAUUUUGAAGAGGGUCAGUUCAGUGAUGCUGAUGAAAAUGACAUCGGGCAACUACAUGUCCGAAAGAGGUGUCCUAACAAAAGCAGUCAUUCUAAGAUCUCCUCCAGCCAUGUCUUAGAUAAUAGCAGUGAUGAUGAAUAUCAUUAUGAUGAUGAUGAUGAUGAUGAUGAUGAUUUCUAUGAUGACACCAAUUUCUACAUUGCAGGUGCAGGAUUUGGAAAAAUCGUGAAGUUCUACGGAAUAGUAGUGGCACAGCUCCUAAUAAGCAGUCUAACAGCAAGAAAGUUACCUCCUAUCAACCUCCAGAAAAACUUUUCAAGAAAUUUGUCGAUAAAAUUAAUGUUGAUGACUACGAUGUUCGAUCUCUUCCUCAGCAUGCCAAAAUUACCUUAAUGAAACCACCCGACGAACUGAGAAUGAAAGGUAAACACUUUAGAAUGGAUAAUCUACAAUAAGGAAAAUAGACAUAACUACUUACGAUAAAGCUGUACUCAAUACCACGUGUAAAAUUCUAGAUUUUAGUUAUCUUAUCGUAAUAUAGUUAAGGUUUAAUAUUUUGAGGCAAAAGCUGAUUUAUCACAUCUUGAGAAAUUUGUUACAGUUCAUUCAACAAAAAAAAAAAAAAAUAAAUAAAUGAAAACAAAAAUUUUCAAACCUUUGAACCAAAGCAAAAACUGAUUAAAGUCAUGUAUUCAAUAGAGAAAUUAAAUAAUUAAUUAGCCGCACUUGAAUUUUUA